UUCACAUAGAGAAAAAAAAAAAGGAGAAAAAGCUCAGCCCAGAAUCGGAGAUGGCAAGCAGAACAGCUUGGAUUGUGGCAGCCAGCGUUGGAGCAGUGGAGGCUUUGAAGGAUCAAGGCUUCUGCAGAUGGAACUACACUCUGAGAUCUCUUCACCAGCAUGCCAAGAACAAUCUUGGGUCCCUCUCUCAAUCUAAGGCCCUCGCUUCUUCUUCUUCUUCUUCUUCAUCAUCUUCUUCUUCUUCGAAGAUGGGUGUGAAUACUAGUGGGGAAGAUGAGAAAAGGAAGAAGAAGACAGAGGAAACAUGGGGGAAAGUCGUGUACUUGAACUCCUGGGGUCCCCACUGAAGCAAUGGACCUCUACUUUUAAGGUGUAUUACAAGAGCGAAAAUGUAGUAGAGGGCAGAUUUUAAUGUAUACUUUCGAAAAAUUUAUCAGAUUUCAGAUUUAUUACCAGAAUGAUUGUGUUACCUUUCAUGAUUUUUGCCAUGGGAACACUUUCUUUGUUGGAUUUGAUUGCAUUUUAGCCUCUUCAAAAAAGGAGCAAUCAAGACUUUGAAACAAACAGCACUUAAAAGAUCCACCUUCAGUAUAUUGUAUAUUGUAUUUUAUAGUUUGUUUUGAAUUGAUUGAUCAGGCAUUGUUCAUCCCCACAUUCCCUUCCUCCCAUCAGUAAAUCUCAUAACUACGGUUUGGGCCUAAUUUCAUCUGGUUAAGAAAAUCAUAUUGAUGAUUAAUUGGCUAUUUAGAAUCUUAUCAUGGUUUUAAUAGAAUCCCCUUUAAAUUAAUAGUUUAUUAGAAUAUUAGUGCUUUAAUAUAUAGUAUUAGUUUAUAUUUGGAAAUAAUAAUUUUAUAUAAUAUUAAAAUUUGUUCAGAUUCUCUGUUCGUUUUCUUGUUUAUUAAUCUUAUGUUUGGGUUUUGAAAAAAUGAAAAAUUUGUGAAAAAUGUGAGAAAAAUAAAAAGUGAAGAAAUAUGAAAAAUGCAUUUAAAGUUAAUAAAAUAAUUAUUUUUAGAUACUUCAUUAAAUUUAUUUUAUUUUAUUUAUAAAUUGUAAAUACAUCAAAUAAUUUGAAAAUAUAAAUAUUUUUAAUUAAUUUUAAUUACUCUUUUUUUUCCAUAUUUUAUCAUGAUAAAUUAGAUAUGAUAAAGUCAGUUUUUUUUUCUUUCACCCUUUGUUAGGCUUUCCCAACCAAACAUAGCCUAACUUACUUGUUUGGAGUCUUUUGGACAGCUCACAGAAAUUAGUCAGCAAAUUGUUUUGGAUUGCCGCAUUGUCACUUCUGAAACCAGCGGUUUCACUCCUUUUACUCUUCUACAAGAAAACGGAGGGCACAUAUCUGGCAACUGCCACCAUAAUUGCCCCUAGUUGGGUCCAAACAUGCAGGUGAAGGUCCAAUCAUGCCCACAGCUAAUUUCCUUUAGCAUCACAAAUCCAAGGACAAAGUAGUCAUUCCAAUUCAAAUCAAUCAACCCAUGAAAACUGCUGGCCAAAGCCUCUGGUUUUUCCCAAACUUUGGGCACCAAAUCCAACCCAUCUCUUGCUAUAAAACCAGCCCACCUUGACUUCAACUUCUUCAUCACAAGAUUCACAACACAAACACUUUGAUUUAGACAGAGAUCUUCAAUAACCAUUCGCCACUCAGAAUCAGUUCUUUUUAUUGUUGAUUGUUGUUUUGAGUUUUGGAGAAAGAAAAUUAAGAAGAUGAGUCAUAUGGGGAAAGCUUGGAUGGUGGCAGCAAGUGUGGGAGCAGUGGAGGCACUCAAGGAUCAGGGCUUUUGCAGAUGGAAUUACACCAUGAGGUCUAUUCACCAGCAUGCCAAGACCAACCUCAGGUCCUUUUCUCGGGCCAAGAAGCUCUCUUCUUCCUCUUCUGCCAUGGUUUCUAGCAGAGUGAGAGAUGAGAAGGCAAAGCAGUCAGAGGAGUCCUUGAGGACUGUCAUGUACCUGAGCUGCUGGGGGCCCAACUGAGGAAUAAGAUCUGGCCGGGUAUGAAGAUGAUGAUCAUCCUACCACUGAAUCAUCCAUGGAGGGCAUAUCCCAAGAAAGUGAUGAGAACAAUCUUAGUUCCCUACUUCGCUCUCUCAAGCUAAGAGCCUCUCUUCUUUUUCUUCUUCUUCUGAUAAGACGGGUGCAAACAAUGGCGGGGAAGAUGAGAAAAGGAAGAAGAAGACACAGAAAACAUUGGGAAAAGUCAUGUACUUGAGCUCCUGAGUCCCCCGUGAAGCAAUGGAUAGAGAUUUUGGGACGUGAUGCAAGAGUGAAAAAUUUGUAGAGAACCGCAGAUAGAUAUGAUGAUAUUGAUUUCAAUGUGUACUUCCAAAAAAAUGAUAUCAAAUUUCAGAUUUAUUAUCAUAAUAUUGUGUUGCCUUUCAUCAUUUUUGCCAUGGGAGUUGUUGGUUUUCGAGAGGGUUAGAAACUAAUUCUAUUUCGGAAAAAAGGAAUCACCAUCUUUGAGCAGUUCGAAAUUGCCCAGAUCUAAAAAAGACCUCGAUAAAAUAUAAAAAUGUUGCGCAGCUUGAGAUAUUUUUGUUCAUGAUUUGAUAGUCAUUUUUAAAAACGUUUUUAUUAUUUUUAAUAUUUAAAUGACAUAUAUUAAAAAAUUAAAAUUUUUUUUUCAAUUACUAAACAUUUCCUAAAAUUAUUACCUUUUAAUACUUCUUGAGCCCUCUCCUAUACUUCUUUUUCUCAAACAGUCUUUCUCAAUUCCGUCCUCGAUCUGAAAGAAUUUUAGCUUCUUUGAGUCUUACAAAAUAGAACAAUCAAAGCAAGAUCCGUCAUUUAGACACUAGGCUCAAAGGUUUCAUUAACAAACGAUACACCCCGACAAUCAUUUCUCCUCUUAUGAGUCAAAUUCAUAAUUUUACCUAUUAUUAGACAUUUCAAUUAAAAAUGAUGAAUAAGUGAUAUAAGUGAUAUAGUUAAAUUAAAUCUUUUAUGAUAUUUGAUAUCUUAUAUUAAAAAUUAGUUGACUUAUUACACUUUUAUUUGGGUUUUAAAAAGGGAAAAUUGUUUUGGACCCAACUGGUCCAAAAAUUAACAUUUGGUCCAUGUAACUUCCAUAAUUGAUAGAAAUGUUAUAAAAGGUUAAAAGACCAAUAUAUCUUUCAAAUUUCUAUAUAUAUUACUUUUUAAGGGUAUAAAAUAGUGAUGGACUAAAAUACCCUAUGACCUUUGACAUAAGUUUUUUUUUUCUUUAUUGCACCACUAUUCAUGCAACCAUAAUAAUUAUAUUUUAACAAUUUAGAUUUUUCAUUGUUUUUAAUUUUUUUUAUAAAUAAUUGAAAAUCAGCAUUAUUUUCUAUUUUAAAUUAUAAAUAAAGAAAAAUUAUGUUCAAAAACUAUUUUAAAAAACACUUUCUAAAAAAAUGGUAAUAUGAUUUAUAUUUUCUAUAUUUUCUUUUUGAAAAAACAUUUAAUUAAAAAAUGAAAAUUAUUUUUAAAAAUAAAAAUUGAAAACCUUGUUUAGUACUAUUUUUUUAUAUGAAAAUAAUAAAAAGAAUUAAAUUUCAUUCCUUGAUUAUCUAUUUUUAUUUUUUUUCCAUUAGUUAUUUUAAUAAUAAAAUAUAAAAAAUAUAAUAUGUUUACAAUUAAACAAAGAAAUUGAUCAAUUAUGUGUUUUUUGUGGGAAUAUCUUUUACAUGAAAAAUAAUUAAAUAACUAAAUUAUAUAUAUAUAUAUAUAUAUUACUCUUUUUAAUUUUAUUUUCUUUAUUUAUUUUUUGUCUAUUAGAAAAUUUUAAUAUAUCCAUAAUUAACAAAGUAAUAAAUCAAUUGUGCAUAUUUUAAUCUAUUAAAAUAAAUUAAUUUCUAAUUUAAAUAAAUAAAAUGAAAUAAGUAAAUAAAUUUAGGGUUAUUUCUAUUUUUUAACAUAUCUUAAAUUAAUAUUUUUUAUGGUUAAAUAAUUUUUUUUAAUUCCAAAAAUAAAAUUAAAUAAAUAAAUAAAUUUUAUAUUUUCUAACUGAUCUUAUAUUCAUAUUUCUUAUGGUUAAAUAUAUUUUUUAUUUUUUUCUUUAUUUUAAAAAAUAAAAGGAAAUAAAAAAAUAAACUUGGCUUAAAUAAUAGUUUUUAAUUAAUUUCUUUGUCUUAUUUUUAAUUACAUUUUGCAUUGAAAAUAAAAUAAAAUAACGUUUUAUUUGUUUUAAUUAUUUUAAAUGUCAAACUAUUAGGAACAUAGUUUACACACUCAUGUGGAUAUAAUUUAUACAUAUAUAUAUGAAGUUUAUACCAUUAUACAAAGUUAUUACACUAAUUAUAUAAGGGGUGUACAAAAUUGUACAUUUUGAACAACUUUCUUUUUUUUUUCUUGUCAUCUGAGAAUUAUACGUUCUCCUACCACAAAUUCAUAUAACAAUUCAAAUACUUACCUUAAUAAUGAUGUUUAGAGAAAUUUUUUUUUUUUUACGUUUUAUAUCAUUUUUUAAAUCAAACCAUUGGAAACAUGGUUCACACAUCAUAUGUGACAUAUAAUAUAUGCAUAUGGAUGAAAUUUGCAUCAUUGUACAAGGGUGUUAUACUAACUAUACAAGGUAAAUGUUCAAUUGGACAAGACAAAUAUUCUAACUAUAUAAAACAAAUGUUCUAACUCUACAAGGGGUAUACAAGGCUAUCAUUUGUGAAAGAUUUUAAUUAAUUUUGGACAAUUUUUUUUUUUUUUUUUGUCUUGUCAUCUAAGGAUUGCACACUUUUAAGGUACACAUUCCUCUAUUACACAUUCAUCUUAUACACUUUAUUUAACUCGCACAUGAUAAUUCGAAUACUUAUCCUAUUAAUGAUGUUUGAGAGAAAAUUUUGUUUUUCCAUCUUCCACUAUUUUUUGAAACAAACCAAUGAAAACAUGGUUAAACUACCUAUGAUUACACGUUAAGUAGAGGGUAUAAUGAAUUUGAGUCACUGUACAAAAUAUUUACACUAAGUGUACAUGACAAAUAUACUAAUUGUACAAGGGUGUACAAGACUAUUAUUUGUGAAGGAAUUUGAGUGAUUAUGAAAAACUUGUUUGUUUAUUUCCUCUAACCGAGGAUAAAUGACAUUCCUUACACACAUUGGUUAAACAUACAUUCAUUUCAUGCACUUUAUUUAACUUGUAUAUGGUCAUUUGAAUAGGUACCUCACUUAUGAUGAUUGUAAAACAAAAUUAUACAAUAAUUUUUAUUCUUUUUUAAAACCAAACCAAUGCAAACAUGGUUAACCGACCUAUUGUCAUAUAUUCAUGAGAUAAUGUAUAAAAUUUGAGUUAUUGUAUAAGGGUAUUACACUAACUGUACAAGACAAAUUUACUAAUCGUACAAGGGUAUACAAGACGCUUUUUGUUAAGAAUUUUAAGUGAUUUUGAAAAACUUUCUCAUUUGUUUCCACUCAAAGAUUUUUUUCCCCACUCAAAUUCUCUCACUCAAGAAUUGUUUCGAAUUUUAUUUUUAAAUUUUAUCAACAAAAUUUUGUAAUUGCAUAUUUUGUUUUUAUAGUUUUAGCAAUGUUCUUUCUUUCCACUUUUUUUUUUUGUGAAAUUUUAUCCAAAUGAAUCUAUAUUUAAAAUUAUAAUCAUAUUUAUCAAAUUUUUUACUAAGAUUAUCUUUAAUUCUUUUAAUAUAUUUAUAUUCAUUUAUUUAAAAAAUAAAAAACUAAUUUUUUUUUUGUAAACAUGUUCUAUUACCUUUCAAGAAUUAGAUAAGUUUGAAAGUCAAUAAAAAUAAUUAAAUACCACUUUCAAUAAUUUUUAGAUAAAAUUUUAUAUAAUAUAUUUUAUUUGAAAUUUAAUUUCUAAAGUUUAACUAAAAAAUUAUAUUUACAAUUUUUUUGUUGUGAGUCAAAAUACUUUACAUUAGUCUAUUUAGAUAAGAAAAAUUAUUAAUAUAAUAUUAGAAUUUUGUAUCUUAGUUAUUUUUUUCAAUAAAUUUAUCUUUUUAAAAAUUUUAAAAUAAAAACAUUAAAAAUUAAAAGCUAAAAGGAGAUAUAUAUAUAUAUAUAUAUAUAAUAAAGUGAAGUGAUAGUCAAUUUUUAAAUUUUUUAAAAUAUGGUUAAUAUAGAAAAUAUAAAAAAUAAUUAAAAAUAAGAAAAAAAUAUAAAUGAAAGGGUAAUAUAAAUUUAAAAUAAAAAUUAAAAAUUAAACUAAAAGAUAAAAAAAAUAUUUGGAUGAAAAAUCCCAAAAUUUUUAUCAUUGCUUAUAAUAAAAGCAAAAAGAUUCAAUAUCUUUAAAAAUGAAAAACAAACUUUUUAUUUGACAUAAAAUAGAAAUAUAGAUCGGAAGAAAAAGAAAAAAAAUUAGAAAUGAGUAAUACUUUAUAGGGAAUAGAAAAGGGAAAAAAAACACAAAAAAAAAUUAAAAUUCAUAUUUACUUGUGCCUAUGUAAGAGUUAAAGGUAUUUUAGGGAUUAAUAAAAAAUAAUAUCCUUCAUCUUAAUUUUCAUACUUUGUUUGGGUCUUGGAUUUAAAUAUGUAUGAUAUAUGAACUAAAUGUUAAUUUUUGGAUUCGGCUGAACCCAAAACACGAUUCUCCUUUUUAAUAAAAUCCUAUUAUGUAUUAUUCAUUCAUUGAAUAUGGUAGCUUAACAAUUAUUAGAGGUUUAAUAUAAUAUUGAAAUUUGUUCACGUUUUUUGUUAGGCGAGCUCACAGAAUUUAAGUCGAAUUGGCUUUUAGAUUGCCGCUUUGGAAACCAGCGGUUUCACUCCUUUUUUGGCGACUGCCACCAUGAUAAUACUUGGUUGACCAUGCAUGUGGGUGAAAACCCAAUCAUGCCCACAUCUAACUCCCUUUAGCAUUACAAAUCCAAGAACAAAGUAGUCAUUCCAAUUCAAAAGCAAACAAAGCCAUGAAUACUGCUGGCCACAGCCUCUGGUUUUUCGUAAACUUAGGGCACCAAAUCCAAACCCAUCUCUUUCCUAUAAAACCAACCCACCUUCACUUCAUCUUCUUCAUCACAACCCAAAACACUUUGAUUUACAGAGAGAUAUUCAAUAUCCCAUUCACUACUCAGUAUCAGUUCUUUUACUGUUGAUUGUUGUUUGAGUUUUGGAGGAAGAAAAUUAAGAAGAUGAGUCAUAUGGGGAAAGCUUGGAUAGUGGCAGCAAGCGUGGGAGCAGUGGAGGCACUCAAGGAUCAGGGCUUCUGCAGAUGGAAUUACACUAUGAGGUCUAUUCACCAGCAUGCCAGGAACAGCCUCAGGUCUUUUUCUCAGGUCAAGAAGCUCUCUUCCUCUUCCGCCAUGGUUUCUAGCAGAGUGAGAGACGAGAAAGCAAAGCAAUCAGAGGAGUCUCUGAGGACUGUCAUGUACCUGAGCUGCUGGGGACCCAACUGAGGAAGCAGAUCUGGAUAUGAAGAUGAUGAUCAUCCUACCACUGAAUCUUCCAUGGAGGGCAUAUCCCAAGAAAGUGAUAAGAACAAUCUUAGGCCCCUCUCUCAAGCUAGGAGCCUCUCUUCUUCUUCUUCCUAUAAGAUGGGUGUGAAGAGUAGUGGGGAAGAUGAGAAAAGGAAGAAGAAGACACAGAAAACAUUGGGGAAAGUCAUGCACUAGAGCUCCUGGGUCCCCAGUGGAGCAAUGGAUACAGAUUUUGCGGUGCAAUAUAAGAGUAAAAAUUUUGUAGACAACUGCAGAAAGAUGUGAUGAUCUUCAUGCGUACUUCAAAAAAAUGAAAUCAGAUAUCAGAUUUAUUAUCAUAAUAUUGUGUUGCCUUUUAUCAUUUUUUGCCAUGGGAUCACUAUCUUUGUUGGUUUUGAUUGAAUUUGAGCUUUAGCAGAUGGAGCAAUCAAGAGUUUGAAGCAAAAAGCACUUAAGAUCCACCUUCAGUGCAAUAUAUUUUGUUUUGAAUUGAUUGUGCAGGCAUUGUUCACCCCACAAUCCCUUCCUCCUCUCAGUCAAACUCAUAACUAUGGCUUGGCUCUAAUUUCAAUUCUCAAACAUCUUAACUGAAAAUCAUACUGAUGACUAAUAACAAUAAGUUCAACCUUUUAUGGCCUUUUUUUUUUUUCGGAGUGAUUGUUUGCGUGAUUCAUUUCAGACUUAAAAGAAUGAUGUUAUUGUGCCUAUACACAAAUUUUAUACUCAUGGUUUUAAUAGAAUCCCGUUCACUAUGUGAAAUUAAUAGUUUAAUAUAAUAUUAGAGUUUUAAUAUAUAGUAUUAUUUUAUAUUUUGAAAUUAGUAUUUUAAUAUAAUAUUAAAAUUUGUUCAGAUUUUCUGUUCGUUUUCUUGUUUAUUAAUCUUAUGGUUGGGUUUGAAAAAUGGAAAAUUUGAGAAAAAAAAAUGUGAGAAAAAAUUGAAAAAUAUACUUAAAAUUAAUAAAUUAUUUUUAGAUGCUUCAUUAAAUUUAUUAUAUUUUUAUAAAUUAUAAUUACAUUGAAUAAUUUAAAAAUAUAAAUUUUUUAAAUUAAUUUUAAUGACUUUUUUUUCCUUCUUUAAAAUUUUCAUGAUAAACUAGAAAUUGUAAAAUCAUUUGUGUUUUUUUCACCCUAUGUUGGACUUUUCCGGCCAAAUAUAGCUUAACUUUAGGGUUGUAAUUUGGACAAGUUGAUCGGCCUGAUCAUUGAUGGUCAAUCCAGACUCAAUCCAACCUUAUUUUUAAAAAAUAAAGUUAGUUAGUGGAGUUAAACUCAAAUUGAUUAGAUUAAACUUUAUAUUAAAACUUGGAUUGAUUAGGUUAAAUUUUAUGUUAAAAUUUGGAUUGAUUGGUUUAAAUUUCACCUUAAAAUUUGGAUUGAUUGGGUUAAACUUGAGUUGAUCCAAUUGAUUGAUUGUGUUGUAUAAUUCAAAAUUCAUUAAUAAUAGUUUUUUUUUUAAUUUUAUACAUUUAUACCAAAAUUUAGUUAGUAAUAAGACAAAAUUUCAAACAAUAAUAAUAAUAAUAAUAAUAAUAAUAAUAAUAAUAAACUCAUUUUUUUUUUCAAAAAAUGAAAAAAAUAUACUAAAUGAUCACAAUUUAAUAUUUUUCUUUAAAAUUUUAAAAAUAAAUAAAUAUUAUUAUAUUAGAUAAUAAAUAUUAUAAAAACAUUAAAUUUGGUUUGACUCGGAUUAUAGCCUAAAUCUAAUUCAAAUUGAAUUUUGGUUGUGAAAAAACUUAACCCAACCAAAUAUUGGAUUAAGUUGGGUCAACCCGUCAAAGUUAUACCCGUGACUUGUUUGGGCAUCUCACAGAAUUUAGUCAAACAGCUGAAAAUUAAUGGACUCCAGUGGGCAGAGUAAGUAAAGCAAAUUGUUUUGGAUUGCCGCAUUGUCACUUCUGAAACCAGCGGUUUCAGUCCUUUCACCCUUUUAGCAGGAAAACAGGGGGCACACCUCCUGGCAACUGCGACCAUAAUAACACUUAGUCGGGAAUAAAAAUGUAGCUGAAAAACCAAUCAUGCCCAAAUGUAACCUACUUUAGCAUUACAAAUCUAAGGACAAAGUAGUCAUUCCAAUUCAAACCAAACAAACCCAUGAAUACUGCUGGCCACAGCCUCUGGUUUUUGCCAAACGUUGGGCACCAAAUCCAAACCCAUCUAUUGCUAUAUAACCAACCCAUCUUCACUUCAUCUUCUUCAUCACAACACAAACACUUUGAUUUACAGAGAGAUCUUCUAUAUCCUAUUCACUACUCAGAAUCAGUUCUUUUUAUUGUUGAUUGUUGUUUGAGUUUUGGAGAGAGAAUUAAGAUGAGUCAUAUGGGGAAAGCUUGGAUAGUGGCAGCAAGUGUGGGAGCAGUGGAGGCACUCAAGGACCAGGGCUUCUGCAGAUGGAAUUACACUCUGAGGUCUAUUCACCAGCAUGCCAAGAACAACCUCAGGUCCUUUUCUCAGGCCAAGAAGCUCUCUUCUUCCUCUUCCGCCAUGGUUUCUAGCAGAGUGAGAGACGAGAAGGCCAAGCAAUCAGAGGAGUCUCUGAGGACCGUCAUGUACUUGAGCUGCUGGGGACCCAACUGAGGAAGAAGAUAUGAAGAUGGAUGAUCACCAGCAUACUAGUGAAGCAUCGAUGGAGGGCAUAUUCCAAGAAAGUGAUACGAACAACUUAGUUCCCUCUUUCAAGCUAAGAGCCUCUCUUCUUCUUCUCCUCCUUAUUCUUAUAAGAUGGAGGUGAAUAGUGGCGGAGAAGGUGAGAAAAGGAAGAAGACACAGAAAGUAAUGGGGAAAGUCGUGGGCUUGAGCUCCUGCGGUCCCAGUGAAGCAAUGGAUAGAGAUUUUGAGGUGUAACAUAAGAGUAAACAUUUUGUAGAGAUCUGCAGAUAGAUAAGAUGAUUUUAAUGUGUACUUAAAAAAAUGAAAUAAGAUUUCAGAUUUAUCAUCAUAAUAUUUGUGCCAUGGGACUAUCUUGGUUAGUUUUUUAGAGGGUUAAAAACUAAUUCUACUUUGGAAGAAAGGAAUCACCUUCAAAUUAAGCCAUCUUUCGAGCAGUUUGGAAAAACCCUUAUCUAAUAAAGACCUCUAUAAAGUACAAAAAGGUUGUGCUUUUACCAUAAAAAAGGUUGUUUCAAGCCCGAGAACAUCAGAAAUCAUCAUGCCAAGGUUGAUAGAGUUGCUAACAUACAGAUAAGAAAUUUUACCCAAAAAAAUAAAAUAAAAAAAUUAAAGCUUUGUCUUGAAAAGUCUCUCAAAUUCAGAUUCAUUUUUGGAAGAAGAAUAAGAGAUAUCUAAGUGAAGUGAGGGGUUCGUGGACAGGAAAUUUAAGAUAUUUUAAUAAUCCAAUAGUUUUAUUUGAUUUUUAUCAUAGUAUAAUAAAAUAAUUCUCUUUUAUUUGUGGAUGUAAGUUAAUCAAAACAUGUUAAGAUCUCGUGUAUUUUUGUGUGAAUUAUUUUAUUUUUACAUUCUAAAAUUAAUAUUUUUGUAUUAAAGCUUACAUUGAUACCAAAGCUAUGUUGAAGAUUUGUAAAAGAACAAAAAAAAAAAAAAAAAUAGUACACAAAAAAAAUGAUAAAAUGAAUUUUAAUUGAAAGUGAAGUUGAUUGUUUCCAAAACAUGAUACAAAAAAUAUGUUAUGAAAAGAUGAAAAAUUAACUUAAUGGAAUUUGAUGUCGAGAUUGUUCAAGAGUGCCUUAAAUUCUUAUUAAUAUUGAUUGAUUUUUAUAAGGAAUAUUGUAUAUAAUAUAUUUUAAGUUAAUAUAUUAUUAUAAUAUUAGAUUUCUUUAUUCAGUAAAGAAAGUUAUUAAAAAUAUUUUUAUAAAUAUUUUAAAUCUUAUAAGAUGAAGAUUAACUUGUAAAAAUUAUAUGAGAUGGAUAAAGAUGUAUAAAAAAAAUGAAAGAUAUCUUGAAUGAUGUAGUGAAAUGAUUCUCUCAUUCGCAUAUAUAGGCAUGAUUCAUCGAAUCAUAUUAAAACCUCAUGUAUUUUCCGGUGGAUUGUUUUAUUUUUAUGUUUUUAAACCAAUAUGUUUGUGUUAAGAUUUUCCCUUACCCAACACCUUCAACCCUCUCUUUUAUUUAUUUUUUUCAUUAUAUUUAUAAAGAGGUUUAUCCAAAGAUCUCAAUCCCUUGUCCUCAUCUUACCGUCUUUGAUCUAUCCGAGGAAUUUUAGUUUCUUUGGUAAUGAUUAAUUUUGAAUCUUACAAAACAAAACAAUCAAAAGUUUGAAACAAAGCAAGAUGCAUCAUUUAGACAAUUGGUUCAAAGGCUUCAUGAUAGACGUUACAUCCCAACAGUCAUUUAUGCUCUUAUAAGUCAAAUUCAUAAUCCAAUGUAUUAUUAGUUCAUUAUGUGAAAUUAAUAACUCAGCUAACAUUAGAGGUUUCAUAAAACACUAGAAUUUGUUCACAUUUUUGUUAGGUGAGCUCACAGAAUUCAAGUCCAAUUGGCAACUACUCCAAAAGUGAAUGUUAUUGAACUCCAAUAAGCAACUUGUUUUAGACUGCCGCAUUGUGGCUUUGGAAACCAGCGGUUUCACUCCUUUCACUCCUUUAGCAGGAAAACAGGGGACACAUCUUUGGCAGCUGCCACCAUGAUAAUUCUUAGUAGGGACCACACAAGUGGGUGAAAACCCAAUCAUACCCACAUCUAACUCCCCUUAGCAUUACAAAUCCAAGGACAAAGUAGUCAUUCCAAUUCAAACCAAACAAACCCAUGAAUACUGCUGGCCACAGCCUCUGGUUUUUUCCUAAAGUUUGGGCACCAAAUCCAAACCCAUCUCUUUUCUAUAAAACCAACCCACCUUCACUUCUUCUUCUUCAUCACAACACAAACACUUUGAUCUACAGAGAGAUCUUCAAAAUCCCAUUCACUACUCAAAUCGGUUCUUUUUAUUGUUGAUUGUUGUUUGAGUUUGGAGAAAGAAAAUUAAGAAGAUGAGUCAUAUGAGGAAAGCUUGGAUAGUGGCAGCAAGUGUGGGAGCAGUGGAGGCACUCAAGGACCAGGGCUUCUGCAGAUGGAAUUACACUAUGAGGUCUAUUCACCAGCAUGCCAAGAACAACCUCAGGUCCUUUUCUCAGGCCAAGAAGCUCUCUUCUUCCUCUUCUGCCAUGGUUUCUAGCAGAGUGAGAGAUGAGAAGGCAAAGCAGUCAGAGGAGUCUCUGAGGACUGUCAUGUACUUGAGCUGCUGGGGACCCAACUGAGGAAGAAGAUAUGAAGAUGGAUGAUCACCAGCCUACAGCGAAGCAUCCAUGGAGGGCAUAUUCCAAGAAAGUGAUAACUCAUAAGUGGAGUGGAGAUCAGUUUCAUGGAAUUUUUCCUAGAAGACAAACAAGGUGGAAAUCCAGAAAUUAAUUAGAACCAACUGCUAAUAGUUGGCGUCUCUGAGUUAGGAAUUUGUUAGCAAAAGGCAGCUUUGGUAUAUAUACUAAUAUACGAGAUGAUUUCAAUGUAUAUUUGAAAUAGAAAUUAGAUUUAUUAUCAAAACGAUUGCGUUGUCUCGUCUUUUAUAUUUUCCAGAUCCAAACAGAUCCUAAAGGCCCUAAAAUUUUUGUUGUAUCAUUUUUAUGCUAAAAAAUUACACAUAGAAAAAUUAACUAAAUCAUAAGUAGCUUCUAACCAUGAAUUGUUUUUUUUUUUUUAAGCCUAUAAAUUUUAUGCUUUAGAUACAUGCAUUAAAAAUCUAUCUAAACCAUAUAUAAUUAUUUUAAUGCAGUUAUAUAACUGAUAAAAAUAGAAAUAAAUUUAAUAAAUAUAAAAUAAUAAAAUAUUAGGAUAAGUAUUGAAGAUCAAUUUUCAGUCUUCAAACUUAAUCGAACUUGAAAGUGGAUGGCGAUGGAUACAAUGAUUUGAGCCAGGUCUUAAAUCUUUAACUUAAUGGAGCAAUUAUUGUAAUCUACUUAAUAAUUGGUCAGUAUAAAAUUAAAUAAUAAUAAAAGGAGAAAGAAAAGGACACGUGUUUGACGUGGACGUUGCCAAAACAGCGGUUUCAGACAGGCCUUUUACUGCCCGAGCGCCAGUGGAUUAACAAAGAAAACAAUGAGCACAUCAGUGGAAGCGGCACCAGCUACCAAGUAUGCAGCUGAAAUGCCCCUUGGAAUUACAAAUCGAAGGACAAAAGAGUCAUUCCAGACCAACCCAGAAAUACAGCUGACCCCUGCCUCUGGUUUUUCCCCAAACCUUGUGCCUUUCUCUAUCUAUAUAAUCCAGCCCACCUUCUCUCCAUCUUCUUCAUCGCAACACAAACGCUUUGAUUUACUGAGAGAUCUUCCAUAUCAAUUCACUACUGAGAUUGUUGUUUGGGCUUUGAGUUCUUGGGAAAGAAAGUUAAGAAGAUGAGUCAUAUGAGGAAAGCUUGGGUGGUGGCAGCAAGCGUGGGAGCAGUGGAGGCACUCAAGGAUCAGGGCUUCUGCAGAUGGAACUACACUCUGAGGUCUAUUCACCAGCAUGCCAAGAACAACCUCAGGUCCUUUUCUCAGGCCAGGAAGCUCUCUUCUUCCUCUUCUGCAAUGGUUUCUAGCAGAAUGAGAGACGAGAAGGCAAAGCAGUCAGAGGAGUCUCUGAGGACUGUCAUGUACCUGAGCUGCUGGGGACCCAACUGAGACGUUCCACAUUUCGAGUGAUCAAGAAGAAGAUGAUGAUGACGAAAGAUUCAUGGAGGGAGCAUGUGAAGGAAGUCAUGAGAAGGGGAGAUGAAAACCAUUAAUGGAGAAGAGAGAUCCAUCUGUGGAUGAAGGCAGUGGAAAUUUGGAGCCGAGUGAGUCAUGGGUAAUGGUUCUUAUGAGUUGGGAAAUUAUCAGCAAAGUGCUUUCUCAACCUCAGAUGCUUUGGGAGGAAUGGGAAUUUACCAGAAAAUUG
rnacentral:lncRNA from 1 species